rnacentral:misc_RNA from 1 species
GAAAUGCGAUACUUGGUGUGAAUUGCAGAAUCCCGUGAACCAUCGAGUCUUUGAACGCAAGUUGCGCCCGAGGCCUUUGGGUCGAGGGCACGCCUGCCUGGGCGUCACGCCUAGCAUCGAACCGCACCAACUGCCCUCCUGGGCAGUGUGCGGCUUCGGAGAUUGGCCUCUCGUGCACUCAAGCGCGGUGGGCUUAAGAGAGGGCUGUCGGCCGGGUCGGCACGACGAGUGGCGGACUUGGUGCCUGCAGGAUGUCGUGUCCCCGGUCUUCGAAGAGCCGAAGACACCCGGAUUGGGCGUGCAUAUGCGCUUCCGCUCGGGAGGGCGUGCCGCCUCGCAACGUGACCCCAGGUCAGGCGGGGACACCCGCUGAGUUUAA